CCUCGUUGGCUCCGAAGGGAUGCAGCAGCAAUUCAUGUUUUGGAGUAUUGCAAAGGUUCAAAACAUGAAGCGCUGCACCACCCCUUCGCGGGAAA
rnacentral:pre_miRNA from 1 species